CUCUCCUAGACCUCAUUUAAGGGCUGACUGCCCCAUGGGAAGGCUGUGUGGUUGGAGAUCCUUUCUUUGUGGAGUUUCCUUUCUGAGCCUGGAUCUUCAGGCACAGCCCUGCUUUUGGGGAGUGAUUUUUGAGAUCUCUGCAGUCUUGGUCGCCACUUGGUUCUACAACCCCAACCCCACUGAUUUGCUUGGGAUGUUAUUUUCAGACAUCUCUCGGUUGCAUUUUAACCUUGGAAUUUACAGUGCUUCGUAAGUCAAUCCUACAUUGACUGGAUUGAUAGAGACUGUAAAACAGCAUUGUUAUUUCAUGGUCGAUUGUUGACCAUGUUUACUAGUUGUAGCAGUUGUCACUGGACAGUGCGGAACUUUUCAGAUGUGACCUGGAAAAUGAGUCAUUUUUUGGCAUGAGCAGAAAAAGCUGAGUUACUGGGAUCAUUCACAGUGAUACAGGUUGAACUUUGGGACUUCGGAAGCCAUCUUGGAAGAGGUUAAAUGAUGCCAUGAGAAAUUCUGGCCAGCAUACAGCCUUUCUAAAAGCUCUGCUUUCUUUAGCCACGAACUCAUUUGCUUUGUAGCUUUCUGUUCACCUUUAGUGUCUGAUUUCGUAGUCGGUGAAGUUCAGCAGCAGAACUCAGACCACAUCUGUUGUGCCACUCAUACUUCAAAAGGACAUGAAAUAGCUUUCACAUCUCCACCUCCCUACUAAAAUCUCUCCUACCUUUUGGUUUCUUGCAUUAGAAGGGAAGGAAUGUGCCUGAAACAGUCGGUUUUUUCUUCUUUUCAUAUUGUUUGAUGCAUGAUGAGCUUGGCUAUCUGAUCUCAUUGUGUUACUGAAUAUGGCUUCAUUAGCCACAAAAAGUGCUAUCUACAAGGAAGAAAAUAUGCCCUCUGCUGACUUCGUAUGCGGCUAGAAUUUAAAAAGCUGCUGUCAGAGUACCACGAUGGAACUAUUGUUUGCAAAUAAAGCAAAUUAAAAUAAACAUCUUUUAUCAUAAGAAAGCAAUUAGUGUUGAUUCGCAGCUUUGCUUGGUUUUUCUUUCCUGACCUUGACUACAUCGUGAUGGUUUUGUGCUUCCUCGGACAGCUUCCACUGCAUCUGCAUCGAUUAAACCUUGAUCUCAUUUAUUAUCUCAGGAAAUGGUCUCAAGGUCACAGGGCUGGAAAUUUAAUUAUGGUGGCAGUAUAUUAAGUGGCACAUUUAAAGAUGCUGAAUCGCAGUAAUUAAUUUUUUGGAUGGUGGUCUCUAGGGAACAGGUUUUCUCCACACUGGGUGUUUAGACAUCCAUCAUGGCCAUUCAGCUUGGCAGCUGUCUUUUAGCUUUAAACUGUGUCAUUAUUCAUCUUUUACGGCUGACUUUAAAAACACUAGACAACUAUAUUCUUUUUUAUUGUAAUAUAUGUCAGAUGCUUGUAUUAAGCUAUACUUCACCUUUGCUAUAAAACAUUAACAGAGGUUGCUAGUAGUUACCUGGCUGGCCUCUAAAUUGAGAUAACAAUUACCCUUCGCUGACAUCUAGUGUCAAGGCAUGAGAUAUAGCUGGAGUGCUGAAUCCAUUGGCCUGGAAAUCCUGCGCUUCCCCAGUGAUUCAAGCUCACCCGUGAAGCUACAGCACUGGACGUAAUUAGUGGACACGAGGGAUUAAGUUGGCACUCGGUGUUGACUUUGUAGCAGCACUAGGUUAUUGAAUGAAAUGCAGCACUGCCAAGGUCUUAAAAAUCUUGUAAUGUUUAAUGAAGGAAUGGUCAUUAAACUUGCUGGAUCAAAUAUUAGGCAAGAUGGAACUGGGAGGUAUUUAAUAAGGGGUCUGAAAAUAUGAACUAAAUCACAUCCACUCAUUUACAAAGCUGGCAAAAGUCCAGUCUUUCAAAAUUCUUCACUGCUGUUUUAAGGUAGGUGGUAUUGGACUGGGGAGGGAGAACAGUGAGCAGGUUUUAGCUUCUAAUGUAACUUCAUUGAAAAUUCUUCUACUGUAAAAUUAUUUUUCUUGAAUGAAAUAUUGUUUUCAUGCUGCUCAGACUGCAAAUGAAUUUUCUCUAGGGACUGUGAAGGUGCUAAAGUUCUCAUUGUGAGCAAUGUUCACAGGUUGAUGUGAGGUCUUUCACACCCUUUGUCAAAUUGAAUAUUUCAGGUCUCUGAGUGACCUAGUCUACAAACAUGUUACUGAAGUUGAGUGAACUGCAUGUGCUAUAUGGCUAUGCACGUAGCCAACCAAAGCAGAGCAAAUCAGGGCUCGCUACACCUGUAAGAACAGGAUAGUCCAAAUGUUUGGGUUUUUUUACAUGGCUUUUUCAAUAAAUCCAGAGUGCAUUGGAUUUUUUUUUGAAGAAAAAUAUGCCACAAUAUAAAAAAUCGGAGUUAAAAGCAGUAUUUGAGGGAGGUUUAUAUUUGGAGCUUAGCAAAUAAUUACCCGAAAAUAUAAUGAGGGUGUAUCAAGCUUGUGUUUUCUUCCUUGUUGUGCCUCAUUUUAAAUAAUCUAUGUAUGUGAAUAUUCACAAUGGAAUGCAGAGUAGCCAUAUAAAAAGCUGGGAUUUUGGAACACGAGGGGAGGAGAGAACAUAGCUUACAUCACCACUGCCUGGAGAGUGAUGGGUGUGUAAUAAAUAAUCCAUAGGUUAGGAUAAGUUUGUGCGAGUGAUUAGGCAAGCAGCUGUGCACAAUAAGUAGAUAAACAGGAAAGAAAA